GUGCAGGCUUAUUAUAAGGGAGCUCAUGACCAUCUAUUACCUGAUCGGGAUUGGGCAUGGACUCAUGGUUGCUCGGAGCUAUCGCCGGUUCCGACUCUCUUGGUGCCUCAGGUCAGGAAAUGAUGCAAUGAGAGGCUCAGGAAAUGAUGCAAUGGGAGACUCAGAAGAUGGCACAUCAGUAGUAGAGAAAUCAAAGAACCGAUCUUCACUCCAUGUCUCCCCCUGAAGAAAGGGCUUUGGGAAGUAACGAGUGGUUUCAAAGAGCGUGACAUCAAGGCUAACAUACAGUUUUUGUGUGAUAGGAUCAUAACAUUUGUAGCCUUUCUGAGUAGGAGAGUAACCAACAAAAACACACUUAAUGGAACGAGGAUCCAAUUUAUCCCGAUUGUGAGCAUGAACAUGAACAAAGGCAGUACAUCCAAAGAUUUUCAGAGAGAGCUUGGAGUGGAGCCGAGAGGAGUGGUGAAGCAAAGAACCCGACUAGGCAUUCGAUUAAUGAGAAAUGUAGCUAUCAAAAUGGCAUCACCCCAAAAAUACUUUUUCAUAUUUGUAGUUAACAUCAAUGCUCGAGCUACUUCAAGAAUAUGUCUAUUUUUACGUUCAGCCACCCCAUUUUGUUGAGGGGUAUGCACACAGGAACUUUGAUAAACAAUUCCAUUUUCUUGAAGAUAAUGUCCCACGAUAUCAUUGAAAUAUUCCGUACAAUUAUCAGUACGUAAAAUUUGAAUGUGAGUUUGGAAUUGUGUUUGAA